CCUUGACUUACUGGCCAGCAUUCAGUAGGGCACUCUAAGGUGACUGCCGGUGACAAACCGGAGGAAGGUGGGGAUGACGUCAAAUCAUCAUGCCCCUUAUGACCUGGGCUACACACGUGCUACAAUGGGUGGUACAAAGGGUUGCAAAGCCGCGAGGCCGAGCCAAUCCCAAAAAGCCACUCUCAGUUCGGAUUGUAGGCUGCAACUCGCCUACAUGAAACCGGAAUUGCUAGUAAUCGCGGAUCAGCAUGCCGCGGUGAAUACGUUCCCGGGCCUUGUACACACCGCCCGUCACACCACCAGAGUUUGUAACACCCGAAUCCGGUGGGGUAACCUUUUGGAGCCANCCGUCGAAGUGGGACAUAUGAUUGGGGUGAAGUCGUAACAACGUGGCCGUAUCGUAAGGUG
rnacentral:rRNA from 1 species